GCCUGGAUAGCUCAGUCGGUUAGAGCGUGGUGCUGAUGACUCAAAGGUUGCUUGUUCGGUCCCUGUAUGGGACA